AGCAGAAGAGAUGUGCACAACUUCUGGGUGAUGGGAGAAGUCACAAGGCAUCAGGGACGGAUGAGGAUCUGGGAGAACAAGACAACAGGCCCUACAGAGAGGAGAAGUGGAAGUGACCGAGGAGACCAAAGGAGACUUGACUCCACAGACUGGAAGGGACGGCUGUCGUCACUGUUGCUGUCCUGGUCCUGUGGCACAACCACGGGGAACAAACCCCACAGCCUGACGGCAAGGGCCCUCUGAAGUCCCAGACCAGACACACACACAGGCCGUAGGGGGCUGGUGGUGACGAUGGGGGUUGCCCGGCGGACCGACCGGUGCCUCUGCACCGUCGCUGGUAGAGAAUGCAGUUAGUACUCUCACGACUGCUCACUCAGUAGCAUUCUAUGAAUAACAUUAGCCAUCAAUAAUCUUCUAUUUUCACCUGGCUCCCCUUGAUGACUUUCUCGUCCUCACACGCACACUUUCCGUCUCCAAGCCCUUCUCGCCACUCAGCACUCAUAUGUGCCUUUCCUGCUUUAUGCCUGAUUUCGGUGGGGCACACAACCCUCUCUGUUGUUAUUAUAUUUUCCACCUUCCCCUCCCCCUCUCCCCACUUUAGGAAGAAGGACUCUUCAGGCCUGUUGGAUAAGUAAAUGCAUAAGUUGGGGCACCUGGCUGGCUCAGUCGGUGGAGUGAGUUUGGGUGGCUCGUUGGGUGUAGAGGUUACUUAAAAAAUAAAA